GGGAAGGGGACAGGUGUUGGGCGCUGGAGACUGGGACAGGGGAGUCGGACAGAGAAAUUGGUCCAGGGGAUCCUCUCCCCAGAUUUGCCAACUACUCUAGCCUCAAACUGUUAGAUGAAGGAAAAACAACACAACACAGACUUCGCUUUGGCCACAUUUUUUCACAGUUGGUGUAGAUACGACAAAGAGGGAUGGUGUAACGGUGGCGGCAUGGUCAACGGCAGCAUUGUAAGCAAAGUCAUACAGCAGCGAAGUCGACGUAUGGUGGCGUUGUAGAUCUCAAAUCCGAGAGAGAUAUUUGACAAUGAUGUGAUGGUAUGACGGCGUUGUAAGCAAAAGCAUACGGUGAUGAGGUUGAAAAUCUCAGAUCUGAGAGAAAGAGAGAUUUGACAGUUAUGGUGGCAGUGGUAUUGCGGUGGCACCAUGGCGACAACAGCGAUGGUGGUGUGGUUGUAAUCUAAAAAGAGUGUAGAGAGAAUGUAGAGAGAAAGUGGCUCAGAUAUGUUUUGACUUUUCUUUCUUUCUUUUUUGGUAUUUUAUAGUUUAGGAUAUGAAGG
rnacentral:lncRNA from 1 species